rnacentral:snoRNA from 1 species
UUCGCAGAAGAGAUGAAAUUAUUACGGAUGUUGAUGAGCGUAAGCUCGCGCGUCCGAGAGCGCAUAACUCAUGUGGAUUACUCCGUUGCCUUCCUGCUGACCAUCCCU